AGCGUACACGGUGGAUGCCCUGGCAGUCAGAGGCGAUGAAGGGCGUGCUAAUCUGCGAUAAGCGCCGGUAAGGUGAUAUGAACCGUUAUAACCGGCGAUACCCGAAUGGGGAAACCCAGUGUGACUCGUCACACUAUCAUUAACUGAAUCCAUAGGUUAAUGAGGCGAACCGGGGGAACUGAAACAUCUAAGUACCCCGAGGAAAAGAAAUCAACCGAGAUUCCCCCAGUAGCGGCGAGCGAACGGGGAGGAGCCCAGAGCCUGAAUCAGCAUGUGUGUUAGUGGAAGCGUCUGGAAAGGCGCGCGAUACAGGGUGACAGCCCCGUACACAAAAGCGCAUGUGCUGUGAGCUCGAUGAGUAGGGCGGGACACGUGGUAUCCUGUCUGAAUAUGGGGGGACCAUCCUCCAAGGCUAAAUACUCCUGACUGACCGAUAGUGAACCAGUACCGUGAGGGAAAGGCGAAAAGAACCCCGGCGAGGGGAGUGAAAAAGAACCUGAAACCGUGUACGUACAAGCAGUGGGAGCACAGGUUUACCUGUGUGACUGCGUACCUUUUGUAUAAUGGGUCAGCGACUUAUAUUCUGUAGCAAGGUUAACCGAAUAGGGGAGCCGGAGGGAAACCGAGUCUUAAUUGGGCGUUAAGUUGCAGGGUAUAGACCCGAAACCCGGUGAUCUAGCCAUGGGCAGGUUGAAGGUUGGGUAACACUAACUGGAGGACCGAACCGACUAAUGUUGAAAAAUUAGCGGAUGACCUGUGGCUGGGGGUGAAAGGCCAAUCAAACCGGGAGAUAGCUGGUUCUCCCCGAAAGCUAUUUAGGUAGCGCCUCGUGAAUUCAUCUCCGGGGGUAGAGCACUGUUUCGGCUAGGGGGCCAUCCCGGCUUACCAACCCGAUGCAAACUGCGAAUACCGGAGAAUGUUAUCACGGGAGACACACGGCGGGUGCUAACGUCCGUCGUGAAGAGGGAAACAACCCAGACCGCCAGCUAAGGUCCCAAAGUCAUGGUUAAGUGGGAAACGAUGUGGGAAGGCCCAGACAGCCAGGAUGUUGGCUUAGAAGCAGCCAUCAUUUAAAGAAAGCGUAAUAGCUCACUGGUCGAGUCGGCCUGCGCGGAAGAUGUAACGGGGCUAAACCAUGCACCGAAGCUGCGGCAGCGACACUGUGUGUUGUUGGGUAGGGGAGCGUUCUGUAAGCCUGUGAAGGUGUGUCGUGAGGCAUGCUGGAGGUAUCAGAAGUGCGAAUGCUGACAUAAGUAACGAUAAAGCGGGUGAAAAGCCCGCUCGCCGGAAGACCAAGGGUUCCUGUCCAACGUUAAUCGGGGCAGGGUGAGUCGACCCCUAAGGCGAGGCCGAAAGGCGUAGUCGAUGGGAAACGGGUUAAUAUUCCCGUACUUGGUGUUACUGCGAAGGGGGGACGGAGAAGGCUAUGUUGGCCGGGCGACGGUUGUCCCGGUUUAAGCGUGUAGGUGUGUGUUCCAGGUAAAUCCGGUUCACUUUAACACUGAGGCGUGACGACGAGGCACUACGGUGCUGAAGCAACAAAUGCCCUGCUUCCAGGAAAAGCCUCUAAGCAUCAGGUAACAUCAAAUCGUACCCCAAACCGACACAGGUGGUCAGGUAGAGAAUACCAAGGCGCUUGAGAGAACUCGGGUGAAGGAACUAGGCAAAAUGGUGCCGUAACUUCGGGAGAAGGCACGCUGACACGUAGGUGAAGUGAUUUACUCAUGGAGCUGAAGUCAGUCGAAGAUACCAGCUGGCUGCAACUGUUUAUUAAAAACACAGCACUGUGCAAACACGAAAGUGGACGUAUACGGUGUGACGCCUGCCCGGUGCCGGAAGGUUAAUUGAUGGGGUCAGCGCAAGCGAAGCUCCUGAUCGAAGCCCCGGUAAACGGCGGCCGUAACUAUAACGGUCCUAAGGUAGCGAAAUUCCUUGUCGGGUAAGUUCCGACCUGCACGAAUGGCGUAAUGAUGGCCAGGCUGUCUCCACCCGAGACUCAGUGAAAUUGAACUCGCUGUGAAGAUGCAGUGUACCCGCGGCAAGACGGAAAGACCCCGUGAACCUUUACUAUAGCUUGACACUGAACAUUGAGCCUUGAUGUGUAGGAUAGGUGGGAGGCUUUGAAGUGUGGACGCCAGUCUGCAUGGAGCCGACCUUGAAAUACCACCCUUUAAUGUUUGAUGUUCUAACGUGGACCCGUUACCCGGGUUGCGGACAGUGUCUGGUGGGUAGUUUGACUGGGGCGGUCUCCUCCUAAAGAGUAACGGAGGAGCACGAAGGUUGGCUAAUCCUGGUCGGACAUCAGGAGGUUAGUGCAAUGGCAUAAGCCAGCUUGACUGCGAGCGUGACGGCGCGAGCAGGUGCGAAAGCAGGUCAUAGUGAUCCGGUGGUUCUGAAUGGAAGGGCCAUCGCUCAACGGAUAAAAGGUACUCCGGGGAUAACAGGCUGAUACCGCCCAAGAGUUCAUAUCGACGGCGGUGUUUGGCACCUCGAUGUCGGCUCAUCACAUCCUGGGGCUGAAGUAGGUCCCAAGGGUAUGGCUGUUCGCCAUUUAAAGUGGUACGCGAGCUGGGUUUAGAACGUCGUGAGACAGUUCGGUCCCUAUCUGCCGUGGGCGCUGGAGAACUGAGGGGGGCUGCUCCUAGUACGAGAGGACCGGAGUGGACGCAUCACUGGUGUUCGGGUUGUCAUGCCAAUGGCACUGCCCGGUAGCUAAAUGCGGAAGAGAUAAGUGCUGAAAGCAUCUAAGCACGAAACUUGCCCCGAGAUGAGUUCU
rnacentral:rRNA from 1 species